CAGACAUUUUCAAAGGGCAAGAGCGACCUGCUGACAUUGAAAAGCCACCGGUGUUGUUUUAACGGAGCAGAGGACUGACUGCCUGGUGGUGCAUCACUCAGCCAGCUCUGCUGACAAAGGCAACAGUAGCUCGUUCAGUUUUCUUUAUGGUCCUUGUGAACGGGCUGCCGCACCGAUGCUGAGGCCGCUUCUGCUCGCCGUGGCCCUGUGGGCCGGGCUGGCAUGGGCCGGCUGCCCGCCCAGGUGCUCGUGCCGCGGCCGCAUCAUCCAGUGCGCGAAGCAGGACCUGGCGGGGAUCCACUUCCACAUCCCGCGUGACACCGAGGAGCUGUGGAUGUCCUCGAACCGCAUCUCCUCGCUGCAGGCGGGCACAUUCCGAGGCCUCACGCGCCUCACCGUCCUCAACCUGGCCAACAACGAGCUCACCUACCUGCCCGCCGGAGUCUUCGACGAGCUCAAGAACCUGCGCGUGCUCAACCUCAACAACAACAAGCUCAAGUUCUUGCGCGAGGGCACCUUCGACCGGCUGCCCAAGCUCAAGGUGCUGCACCUGCACGAGAACCAGCUGCGCUCGCUGCCCGAGGGCUGCCUGGACCGGCUGGAGAGCCUGGAGGGGGUGCAUCUGCACGACAACCCCUGGGACUGCAGCUCCUGCACCGUACUCUACCUGAGCCACUGGCUCAGUCAGAACACCCUCAAGGUGAAAGGUGCGCACUGGUCCACGGACCCCGAUGCCGUUCGCUGCAGCGGUGGCGUCCCCGGCGUUCCCGGCGUUCCCUGUGCGGAGCGUGGACACGGCCGCCCUGGGCGGAGACUCGCACUGCCAGCUCGGGGCGUGGGGCUCGUGCCCGGACGCCUGCUCGUGCGUGGGCAACGCGGUCGACUGCAGCUACCGGGGGCUGCCGAGCGUCCCCGCUGAGAUCCCCGUCAACACGGAGGUGCUUUGGCUCAACGACAACAGCAUCCGCAACGUGUCGGCCACUGCGCUCUCCAAGCUGUCGAAGCUCACGCGCCUCUACCUGUCCAACAACGAGCUGGAGGAGCUCGCGCCCGGCAGCUUCGACGACCUCCGGCGCCUGGAGAUCUUGCGGCUGGGCCACAACUCCCUGAGCACGCUGCCCGGUGGGCUGCUCGACCGCCUCGCCGCGCUGCAGGAG